GACGUAGGGCGCGAGCGUUGUCCGGAUUUAUUGGGCGUAAAGAGCUCGUAGGCGGUUUGUCGCGUCCGCUGUGAAAACCCGAGGCUCAACCUCGGGCCUGCAGUGGGUACGGGCAGACUAGAGUGCGGUAGGGGAGAUUGGAAUUCCUGGUGUAGCGGUGGAAUGCGCAGAUAUCAGGAGGAACACCAAUGGCGAAGGCAGAUCUCUGGGCCGUAACUGACGCUGAGGAGCGAAAGCAUGGGGAGCGAACAGG
rnacentral:rRNA from 1 species